AGUGAACGCUGGCGGUAGGCCUAACACAUGCAAGUCGAACGGCAGCACAGUAAGAGCUUGCUCUUACGGGUGGCGAGUGGCGGACGGGUGAGGAAUACAUCGGAAUCUACUUUUUCGUGGGGGAUAACGUAGGGAAACUUACGCUAAUACCGCAUACGAUCUACGGGUGAAAGCAGGGAUCUUCGGACCUUGCGCGAUUGAAUGAGCCGAUGUCGGAUUAGCUAGUUGGCGGGGUAAAGGCCCACCAAGGCGACGAUCCGUAGCUGGUCUGAGAGGAUGAUCAGCCACACUGGAACUGAGACACGGUCCAGACUCCUACGGGAGGCAGCAGUGGGGAAUAUUGGACAAUGGGCGCAAGCCUGAUCCAGCCAUACCGCGUGGGUGAAGAAGGCCUUCGGGCUGUAAAGCCCUUUUGUUGGGAAAGAAAAGCAGCAGGUUAAUACCCCGCUGUUCUGACGGUACCCAAAGAAUAAGCACCGGCUAACUUCGUG
rnacentral:rRNA from 1 species